rnacentral:rRNA from 1 species
UACGUAGGCAGCGAGCGUUGUUCGGAGUUACUGGGCGUAAAGGGUGCGUAGGCGGUUUGGUAAGUCUUAUGUGAAAUCUACAGGCUCAACUUGUAGUCUGCAUGAGAAACUGCCGGGCUUGAGUAUGGGAGAGGUGAGUGGAAUUCCUGGUGUAGCGGUGAAAUGCGUAGAUAUCAGGAGGAACACCUGUGGCGAAAGCGGCUCACUGGACCAUAACUGACGCUGAGGCGCGAAAGCUAGGGGAGCAAACAGG